GCGUGCACGGGUCUCCUGUCCGUCCCUUCAGGUACGCAGGUUCGCCCGCGCGCACCUGGUAACCCUAAAUCUAGGUCUGCAUCGCGCUGUGCGCGGCAAUCCAAUCAGGGAGUUUCACGCCACUUAUCUCGGUGGGGCGCUCUUGCGCUCUCAAAUGCCAAGUGGUUAAGGCAGUCAGGGGCUCGUGCACCAGGCUCCGUGGAGCCGGGCCUGCACUUGGUGUGGCUGCGGCAGGCGGCACGCACUUGACGUGACGGUCGUCCAUAAUGGCUUGACCAUGCGCCUCAGCCCAAGCCCGGCAGGCCUUGUCAGGGGAGGGAGCUGCAUUUUUUUG
rnacentral:telomerase_RNA from 1 species